rnacentral:rRNA from 1 species
UACGGGGGGGGCAAGCGUUGUUCGGAAUUACUGGGCGUAAAGGGCUCGUAGGCGGCCAACUAAGUCAGACGUGAAAUCCCUCGGCUUAACCGGGGAACUGCGUCUGAUACUGGAUGGCUUGAGGAUUGGGAGAGGGAUGCGGAAUUCCAGGUGUAGCGGUGAAAUGCGUAGAUAUCUGGAGGAACACCGGUGGCGAAGGCGGCAUCCUGGACCAACACUGACGCUGAGGAGCGAAAGCCAGGGGAGCAAACGGG